rnacentral:rRNA from 1 species
ACCAGACUCCUACGGGAGGCAGCAGUGGGGAAUAUUGGGCAAUGGGCGCAAGCCUGACCCAGCAACGCCGCGUGAAGGAAGAAGGCUUUCGGGUUGUAAACUUCUUUUCUCAGGGACGAAUAGAUGACGGUACCUGAGGAAUAAGCCACGGCUAACUACGUGCCAGCAGCCGCGGUAAUACGUAGGUGGCAAGCGUUAUCCGGAUUUACUGGGUGUAAAGGGCGUGUAGGCGGGGACGCAAGUCAGAUGUGAAAGCCACGGGCUCAACCUGUGGCCUGCAUUUGAAACUGUGUUUCUUGAGUACUGGAGAGGCAGACGGAAUUCCUAGUGUAGCGGUGAAAUGCGUAGAUAUUAGGAGGAACACCAGUGGCGAAGGCGGUCUGCUGGACAGCAACUGACGCUGAGGCGCGAAAGCGUGGGGAGCAAACAGGAUUAGAUACCCCAGUAAC